CCCAAAGUACAUAAGCUCAUAAGCUCAUAAAAGCAAAAGGUGAGAAAGCUGUCAUCCAAUCCCAUUAUUUUAUUUGUAAAAUAAACAUACCCAUACUUUAUCCAGCUAGUUAGGAGCAGAACCAUGGUCAAAACUUUUAGUGACUGAAACAUAUGUAACUUAGUAAUUUGUUUGAAUUUUGAAAACAGAACACUGGGGAGAAAUCAGAAUGGAUUAAUGUGCAAUAUGGGCUCUCUGCAUUUUUCAAAAACAAAGAAUAAAAACUUUAAUAAAGUACAGUGAUUUACUAAAGUAAAUUUAAGUUUUCUAAAGUACUGAAGGUGAAAAGUUUGAGAAAAGAUAAGGUGAUUCCCAAUACAUAAAUUAUACCCUACAAAGAUUUUUAUCAUAGAAACUAGGUCAAUCCUAUUCAGAAGGGCAAAGAUAAAGCUAAUAUUUGCCAGGACCUGCCCACCACACCACCCCUCCAUCCCCGCAUAGUAGACAAAGAGGAGUCCGGUUACUAGAAUUUUCAGUUUCUGACAUAUCAACAAGACAAAGUAUUCAUAUAUAAAUUUUUUAAAAAUGACCAACUUCUAUCUUUGAGUCUUACUAUUCCAUGACAUUAGUUGUCAACAAGGAUGACUUACAAGCUGGUUAGCAGUACAUAUUUUCCAAGACAGGUGGCUAAGAAACCGCAGCGUGAACCAGCUCCACUCUGUGCUCAUCCCACAGAAACAUCCACUCAGUGUGACACUUGCAUUUGACCCAUAAGCAGAGAGUUUCACCUGAUACAGGGUGACCCCAUUACAAAUAAAUACCUGUCUUUUCCAUCCCAAGCUUCCUUGGUUAAGUAACACAGCUUCCAUUAAAGACAUUACAGGAGGACUCAAUCACUUGUCCAAAGGGGAUAAUGAAUUGAAAAGUACAGUGGGGAUAAAGGUGGCAUUUCCAUGGAUAACAAGAGACACAUCAGGCUCAUUUCAAAAGAGUAGAAGUGACAAAGCCAGUCCCUAUUGACCACCAAUUACUUCUAACAAAAAUAGCAACCAUGCUUCACAGAGAGACAUUCUGCAUCCAACUAGGUCUCACCUAAGCCCUACUGCAUGUCUUCCAAGUUCCACCAUCUUUGCCUCAGCCCCAGUGCAUGUCUCCCAAGCACCAGUGCCGUUGAGUCUUCUGCCCAUCAGAACUCUUGCAGAAGCAGUGAAUAUCCAAGCUUAAGUGGCUCAUAUCCCUUUGAUUAAAAGAUUCAAACAUAUUUUUCUGUCACUGUCUCUUUGUGCAAGAAAUACUCUUCUGGCUUUCUUUUUUUACAGAAAUUGGAUUAAACAGCAUGCUUUGCAAACAACAGAUAGGAAUGCUAAUUAAAGGACAGACCUCACAAUCACACAAAAAGCAGCUCUGCACCAAAGUCUUUUUAUUUCAUUUCAAAUGUGAUGCCUGUGAUUUAGAAAGACGGAGCUUAUGUGAACUCUAUUUACUAAAGAUAGAACACCAGCAAAUAGACUUAGCAAAGAAGGUAAAGCCACAAAUUUAAACAACAAUUUCCUUACAUUUCUAUUAUGAUUAGUAAUAUUUGAUCAGUAUGAGUGAAAGCUAACGUCUUGAUUACAGAUGCCAACAAAAGAGGUGUUAGAAAAGCCUAGGUUCCUUCUGAGAAAGGCAAAAAUAUAAUGUUAAAAUGUGAUCUGACUGCUGAAAUUUAAAUAUACUUU
rnacentral:lncRNA from 10 species